rnacentral:misc_RNA from 1 species
AUUUUUUUUAUGAAGAAGGCCAUUUGACUAUGUCUUGUUGAAAAAUCUGCAAUUCCAAAAUUAUAAUUUGAUGGGAGUAAGUUAAAGCAUAUUAUCAAGUGCAAAUUAUAACAUCGUAUUUGCUUAAAGAGCAACAAAAAUGCACUAGUGAUUUCAUGUAGAACUAGGCACACAAUUCUUUAGGCAUCCAUGAAUUAAGACACCACACCUAAAGUAAUAUAUGACUGGAUAUUACUUUAAUAAUUGUCAGAAACAUAUCGUUGUGCCUCCUUGGUUUGAAAAUUUUAUUACUUUGAUGAAGUAAUAUAUCACAAAACAUGCAGCCUCUUGGAUUUUAUCAAUUGCACUUUAGCGAAAUUAAUCCAGACUUUAUCAGUUGCACUUUGGUGAAAAUUAAUCCAUAUACGUAUCUGUUGCAUUUUAAAAUUUCAGGUCAAUCAAGCUCUUCAUGAAU